rnacentral:lncRNA from 1 species
AUUUGACUCCACUUUUCAUGGGCUUGACCCCACUAUUCAUAGGACUGACAUUCUGAGCAGGCAUCGGGCAUGUUGAACACAUGUACCGUUCUGGGUCGCCUCUUAGGCCUCACGGUCCCCUAUGUGCAAACUCUUUUGGUAUAUUCGAGCUGGGGCCGCGAACCCCUCUUAGCCCAUGCGAGUUGAUACUGCGAGCUCCCCUAGAUGUCCCUUUGCUGUACACCUCGCAAAAAUCCAUCUGAUAGGACUUGGGCGGGACGCGGGUGCACGACCCGGAUCUUACCUAGGUUUUGUAUUGAUG